GAACCUAGGCAUGUAUUCUAGCAAAGUGAUGUGGAGAGUUCUGAAACUUAUUAAUCAAUUAUUCCAUGGAAGGCAGUUCAAACGAUGGCAAUGGAAGGGAGAUUUACAGAUUGCUCAAGCGUGGGGCCUAAUAUUUCAGAAGGCAUCCCCACCUCCGCCAAAAAUAUUCUUUUGGCACAAACCAUUAACAGAGAAGGAAACCAGGUUGUAGAUCAUCUCUCCAAUUAGGGGCAUUUGCACCAAAACCUACAUGUAGUAUCACAAGCCAAAGGUUAGCUCAAAGGUAUUAUUAGAUUAGAUAAAACAAAUUUACCUUAUGUUCGUUUCAAAUAAUUGUAAAGGAGUAGUACUCCUAAUUUAUUUUUGCUAUUUUUACUUUGAUGAUUAUUUAGACUCUUGUAAUAUGGAAGUGUCUCAAUAUUAUGAUUGUGCUCAUAUAUAUGCAUGUAAAAUGAGACACUCCUUUUAGGUAUUUCUCUUAAUUCUUUUUAGACUCAUUUAAUUCUAAA